GGUCAGAACCCAGAGAACAGACACUAACAGUUCUGCAGAUGUUUGUGAGGAGAUGAGCCAGCAGACAUCAGAAGGUCAUGAAGGACUGAAGGAGAGAACAAUUCAAACCAGAUGUUACCUACUGGAAUCUGGUUCCUCUGAUGAUGGGAACCAGCUUUCUGCUUCACAGGACAGUUACUGGGACUGGAUCACUGGAAUGACUCUUCUCUCCAGAAGUCCAGAAGACGGAAUAUCGCAUCAAAAGAAGGAGAGAGCAGAACCUCCAGGAUCCAUCAGUCCAUCUAUGAGGAGUGACCGGUCCAAGGAAACAACCCAAAGUUCAGUGAUGAACCUGGAUCCUCAGACAGAAAAGGACAGAACCACAGAUGGAGAGCAGAACCUCCAGGACCCAUCAGUCCAUCUAUGAGGAGUGACCGGUCCAAACCAGAUCCUCUAAACUUCAGUAAUGAACCUGGAUCAUCAGACAGAAAGAGCAGCUUUAGUGAGGAGGAGCUUCCAUCUUGCUGUGCUUUGGGUCAGAAUGUUCUGAUGGAUCCGGGCUGGACCAGCUGCCCCCAGUGUGGGAAACAACCCAGAACAGGAUCUGGACUGACAGCCAAUCAGAGCAGCUGUGCUCCAGAUAUUGUUGAUCUGUAUCAGCCUGACCUUAAAGCGUCUCUGAAGAUGAUGUUCCAAAGUCUCUCUGAAGGCGUCG